UAAACCUGGGUAUUUCAUUUGAUACAAAGUCAAAUUGUGCAGAGAUGUGAUAGGACAAAGAGUGUGGGCUCAGUGCAGUAAACCGGGAGAAACUUAGCAAGGCCUGUUCCUCCAGAUUCCUCUCUGCGUCCCUUGAUCUUAGGAGAUAAGAUGCUCCUUUCCUCCGGGUACAGGAGGGCACCUUAAUGAGAGUUUAUGACCCGCUUCAAGAGAAGGUCAGAAAGUCCUUCCUGUACAUGAUGUUUCUCAAAUUCCUCCAGCUUGAAAUAGUCAAUAUGCAAAGGUGCCACAUCUUGGGGUAACGUGUCCUGAACCCCAUCAUGCAAAACCAGUUAUGCUGGGCUGAAACCAAGUCGUUGGUAGUUUGCACUCCCCUAGAGGCUUAGAGGCCAUAUCACUCUGUCUGUGGGGUCACCUUGCUCUUCCUCCUCUGUGUGUAGAACAUAGCCCUCUGCUUCUCUCUCAGAAGGACACUUGCGACUAGAUUUAGGGACCAACCCAGGUAAUCUAGGAUCACCUCCACCGGUCAAGAUCCUUACCUUAAUCACAUCUGCAAAGACCAUUCUCCCUUAUAAGGGAACAAUUACAGGGUCCAGGGAUUAUGACCUGGGUAUCUUUGGGUGGUUGCUCUUCCCAUGUGACCUUUUACCCUUGAAUGCCCCCAUCUGGCCUCCAGACUUUCUCCCCUUAAUCUUCUUUGCUCUGCUCUUCCUUCUCCUGACACAUGGGUAACCCCUGGUAAAAGUGUUUAAUGCCACUAUAAAAAGACGAAAAUUUACAGACUUGGAGAAUAUAUCUGCAAAUAUGUAUCUGAUGGAUGAUUUGCAUCUAGGAUACAUUAAGGACUAGCAAAAAAAAUUAGUAAACAAACAAAAAUAAGAGAGACCGGUUUUAUAUAUAUAUAUUUUAAAAACCAACCACUUAUCAACAUAAAAACAAGUACCUGUAUAUAAGAAUUGGCCAGGGAUUUUAGUAGACAUUUUUCUAAAUAUAUAAAUGCCCAACAAACACAUGAAAAGAAAAUCAACAUUAGUAAUAUUAGAGAAAUGCAAACCAUGACCACACAGUGAGGAACCCCUUCACACUCAUUAGAGUUGAUAUUUAAAAUGAAAAACCCAAAGGAGAAAUAAGCAGUGUUGGUGAGGAUGCAGAGAAAUGGAACUCCUGUGCUUUGCUUUUGAGAUUGCAAAAUGGGGCAUCUGCUAUGGAAAACAGAAUGGCAACUCCUCAAAAAAUUAAAAAUAGAAUUACCAUAAUAUCCAAUAAUUUCACUUGUGGGUGUGUAACCAAAGAAUCAAAAGCAGCAACUCGAAUAGAUGUAGGUACAUGCUUGCUCAUGACACAAUAAUGAACAUGUGGAAACAACCCAGGGGUCCAUCGACAGAGGAAUGGAUUAACGAAGUAACGAAAACACAGACAAUGAAACAUUACUCAGCCUUAAAGAAGAAGGAAAUUCUGACACAUGCCUCAGUGUGGAUUGAAGACAUUGUGCUUAGUGAAGUAAGCCAGUCACUAAAGGACAAAUACUGUAGAUACCAAUUAACGAAGUAUCUAGAGUAGGAAAAUUCAUAGACGCACAGCAAACAGAAUGGUGGCGGCCAGGGUCUGGGGCAGGGGAAAUGGAGAGUUAUUCAUUUAAUGGGUGCAGUUUCAGCUUGGGAAGAUUUGAAAAGUUCUGGAAAUGGAUGGUGAUGUUUGUUGCAUAGCAAUGUGAACUUACUUAAUGCCGCUGACCUGAACACUUAAGAAGGGUUAAAAUGGUAGUUUUGUUAUGUAUCUUUAACCAUAAUAAUAACAAAAACAGCCAAAGAUUUAAUCAUCCACUUCACCAAAGAAGAAAAACAGACGACAAAUGAGCACUUGAAAACAUCUCAGCAUCACUUGUCAUUAGGAAAUUACAGACUAAAACCAGGAUGAGAAACACACCUAUUAGGAUAACUAGAAAACUAAAUAAAAAGAAAAAGAAAAUGAAAUUCUGACAAUAGCAAAUGCUAAUGAGGAUGUGGAACAGCCAGAACUCACACGCGCUACUGGUGGGAGCACCAGGGUACAGACACUUUGGAGAACAGAUUGCAAUUUCAUAUAAAGUUAAACCUACGGUUAUCAUAAUAUUGGGCAAUCUGACACCCAGGUAUUUACCCUGGAGAAAUAAGAAUGUAUAUUCCCACAAAAUCUGCAGGUGAAUAUUUAUAGAAUUUCAUUCAUAGUUGCCCCAAACCUGGAAACAACCCAAAUGUUCUUCAGCUGGCAAGUGUAUACAAAAUGGGGCACAUUGAAACAAUGGAGUAUCAGCCAGCAAUUAAAAGGAACAAAUUAUUGAUACACACACUCAAUAACCUGGACAACUGUCAAAUGCAUUGCUAAAGGUGAAUGAAGCCAGACUACAUUUUGCUGAUUCCAUUUCUACAACAUUCUGUAAACAGCAAAACAAGAGGGAUGGAGAACAGAAACAGCGUUUCUUCUAGGGUUAUGGGUAGAGGGAGGAUUUGGCUCCCCAGAGACAGCACGAGAGAACGUCUUGGCUAACGGCUGUCUUCAGGAUCUUUCGUGGUUGUGGGUACAUAGUGAAAUACCUCUGUCAAGCCGCACAGAACUGUAUAUAAAAAGUGAACCUCACUGUGCCUAAACUUGAAAUAAAUUAAAAAUCAAAACCCACAAUUACAUAUCGCUACACUCCCAAUAGAAUUAUUAAAGUUUACAAAACUGACAAUACCAAGUGUUAAAACAUGUGAAACUGCUGGAAUUCUGGCACAUUAGAGUCAGGAGUAAAGGUUAAAACCAUUCUGGACAACAAUUUGGGAAUUCCUCCUAAAGUUAAACAUGUGGUUACUCUUGGAUCUAACAAUUCCACUUGCAUGCACUCAGGAGGAUGAAAAUAUGUCCAUAAAAAGAACUAUGCCUCAAUAUUUAUUAUCAAAAAUCUCAAAUGUCUUUCAACAGGUGAUUAAAUAAAAGAUUACAGUACACCCACAUAAUGGAAUACUACUCAGUAAUCAGAGAUUAUGAACUACAGAUACAUACGACUUGAUCCGUUUCAAAAUGGUAUGCUGAGUGAGAGAAUCUAGACACCAUGAGUCCAUUUCUAGGGAAUUCUGAAAUAGACAAAACUAAUUCACUGAGGUGGAGAGUAUGUCAAUUGCUACCUGAGCUGGAAGUGGGAGUGAUGAGCUGUAAAUAGGUCUGGGAAAACCUUUUGAGUAGUGGAAACGUUCUGUCUUGUCUCCUGAUUGUGGAGUCGUAACUGGGAUGUACCUUUGUCAAAAUUCAUAGAUGUAACUUUCAAGUGGGAACUUUUUAUUUGACUUGAAUUAUAAAGUUCAUUAAAGGAAAACAAUAAGAACUCAUUGAACUUUCCAGUCCAUGAACACAGUAUACAUUUCUUGACUGUGGAAUCAACUGUAUUGGGGUUAUGUGCCACACUCUUACAUUUCUUAAUAAUCUAGAACUAGUAUUAUUAUACUUAUUAGAAACUCACUGCCUCAUAGAUCAAAUGAGAGUACAAAAUCUCUCUCUGUUAUUAAGGUUGAAGGAACAGUUAUCUAGACAGUCCUGUAUCUGAAAGAUUUUACAAACUGCUGGUGGCAAAUGCAUUUAUGUCACAGGUGUCAAGGACGUCCCAGAAGAAUAUGACACAGAGUGAAAGGCAAAACCUCAUGAGCUGAACCUAAAAUCUUAAUUAUAGCUGUAGUUUCCACUCAAGUUUCCUGGAAAUAUUACACCUUGUGAGCCACAUGUAACUUUAAAAAGAUGUUUUACAUGACAGGAAAUGCUAAUCUGUAUGAUGAGGACCUAAAAAAAUUCACCCUAGUCCACACAACACUGAACAAUACCAUUCAGGAGAAAGAAGUUUCCUCUGCCCUGGCUCCUAGAACAUGUGUCCUGUCUUUUGUUUUACAGGAAAAUGCUACAUGAUUUUUAUUUUGGAGAUGCUGUUAUAAUUUCGUGAAUCAGCAUACUAGAAGUGAAAAAAAAAUCUAAAGCCCAUAUUCAUAUUUUGGAAAACACCCCACAUACUGCCAGGAUCCACAGCAAACUCACCAGUGACCGAGCUCUAAAGGCUAACAGCUGAGUGUCUGGGGAGGAAACGACUCCACUGGGUGGGGAGCAUACCAUGGGUGUGGACAAGCUGGGUCAGCUCCCCUCUUGUCUCCAGCCUCCUCAACACAGAGAUGCUCAAUAAACGUUUGGGGAAUGAAUGAAUGAAUGAAUGAAUGAAUGAAUGCUUGGCUGAUGCCUCACGUCACCUAGAAUCCCUUUCUUUCCUUCUGUCCUGGAUGCUCACACAGACUUUAAAGAAUCCUACACCUGGCAGGACAGGCCACUUGGGUUCUUGAUGAGGCUGUGACCCUCCAGGGUCAAGCAGGAGCUACCAGCUCCCUGGUGUAGACAGCAGGGCUCAAAGAAGCACCCCACAUGGGAGGCCCUUAGAGACUCACCAUCUCCCACUGCUCAGAUGUCCUCAGAGGUCCUGGUCCAGGCUCCAGUGCUGGAUGGAAGCCCCAAGAUGGGGAGAGGACACGGGGUCUGCUCCUUGUUUACUGCCCUCUUCUCGGGGGUCUCUGGGCCCUGGAGAGUCUCCCCACUCCGUGCAGAGGGUGGAUGAGCUCAGGCCUGUGGUUCCUCUUCUGUGAAUGGCAUAGCUCACAUGCUCCUCCGCACCUUCCUGUAGGUCCCCCAGCAGGGCCAGCUCCCGCUCAUCUUCCCCGUCUCUUUUCUGACACAAGCCAAAAGCACAGAACCCUCCAUCUCAGAGAUGCUGCUGCUGCCCCUGCUGUUAGAGAGGGGCUGGGUGCAGCAGGGGCUGUGGCUGACCCUCAUUUCCUGGCAGGGUCCCUGGCUCAGUAUGACAGACACUGGUUGGAAGUGCAGGAAACUGUGACUCUGCAGGAGGGCAUGUGCGUCUCUGUGCCCUGCACCUUCUCCUAUCCCUGGUACUAUUGGACUGACUCUGCCCCAGCUCAUGGCUACUGGUUCCAGAGGGGCCAAAUCCAUGCCAGGAUGCCCGAGCGGCCACAAACGACCCAGUUCGUAAAGUGUGGGAGGAGACCCAGGGCCGAUUCCACCUGCUCAGGGACCCCAGGACUACAACGGCUCCCUGGACAUCAGAGAUGCCACAAGGAGUGACAACAGAAGAUACUUUUUUGGGUGGAGAGAAAUUACAAAUCUAGCCACCUCUCUGCGCAUGCGACAGCCUCAGAAGAGUGACCUGUGACAAAGACUCUGGUGUCUCCCAUCAGAGUGAAGACCUGCAGGAAGAAAGCAGCCAGGAAAGCAGUUGACAGGAAUGACAUUAAUCCUGCAAUCUGGCCAGCUUUGUUGUGGACACCAUGACCUCACCGCCCUGGCUGCUGCCUCAUGCCUGGAGUAGCACUGUGUUCAUACUGAGACUGACCACCGUGGAGUGGACAGGAAAGGUGGGAUCAUCUCUCAGCCUUCGGAAGGACUGAGACGUGAAGCUGAGUGAGGCUCAUCCCAGCUCUGAUGGAACACCCCUUUGGAUACUCCAGUUCCUUCCCAGACUGCAGGCUCCCUGAGGAAGCUCCUGAGAUGUCUUCCUGGAAACAUGAUGUUGAUGAAGGGACCUUGGCAGGAGGGAGCCAGGGUCCCCUGUGUAGGACAGUAAGGAGCAACAUUAGCUGCAGAGCUCAUGGGGUGGCUCAGUUACCAGCCCCUUUUCCAAAAGAGGAAGAGGAGGAGGAGGAAGAGGAGGAGGAGAUGAUAUGUUGGAGGAAUUCAGACUUAGACUUCUUUGGACCCUCGAGCUGAAGGAUGAAGAACUGACCGAGGGGCUGGCCAGGGGCUGCAGCCAGGUCUGGAAGCAGACUCCCUGUAUGCUGACACCAGCAUCUUCAGCUCUGAUCUUGCUCUCUGGAGCUUGUACCAGGUACCCCACCACCUUCAUCUGAAGUGCAACCAUCUUGGAGCCUAAAUAGCACUAUGUCAGCUGCUUGUGUAAGAGGAUGCUUCUCCCUCCUACUGGGUCCCAAGCCCCCCGCCCCAUUCCUAAGUACCUACCCAUAUGGUAGGGUCAAGGUCAUGAGCCCAGCCCUGCUUGCCUGGUGAGCUUCCUAGGGGGUGGUGGGUCUAUGGAUAGACUCAUUGGAGGAGUUCAGCCCAAAGACAAAAAAUUAUGUGAUUUUUCAGGCCUGAUCACAGGCAAAUAAAAAGGCUUUUCCUGGCUGUCCUCAUGGGGAAGCUGUCCUCCACGCACUCUUGACUCUCCAGGAGCUGGACUGCUGGGACCUGCUUCUCCAGUGCAUAUGAUUUUGCA
ensembl:lncRNA